rnacentral:rRNA from 1 species
CAUGCAAGUCGAACGCCCCGCAAGGGGAGUGGCAGACGGGUGAGUAACGCGUGGGAAUCUACCCAAUUCUACGGAACAACAGUUGGAAACGACUGCUAAUACCGUAUACGCCCUACGGGGGAAAGAUUUAUCGGAAUUGGAUGAGCCCGCGUUGGAUUAGCUAGUUGGUGGGGUAAAGGCCUACCAAGGCGACGAUCCAUAGCUGGUCUGAGAGGAUGAUCAGCCACAUUGGGACUGAGACACGGCCCAAACUCCUACGGGAGGCAGCAGUGGGGAAUAUUGGACAAUGGGCGCAAGCCUGAUCCAGCCAUGCCGCGUGAGUGAUGAAGGCCCUAGGGUUGUAAAGCUCUUUCACCGGUGAAGAUAAUGACGGUAACCGGAGAAGAAGCCCCGGCUAACUUCGUGCCAGCAGCCGCGGUAAUACGAAGGGGGCUAGCGUUGUUCGGAAUUACUGGGCGUAAAGCGCACGUAGGCGGAUACUUAAGUUAGGGGUGAAAUCCCAGGGCUCAACCCUGGAACUGCCUUUAAUACUGGGUAUCUUGAGUUCGAGAGAGGUGAGUGGAAUUCCGAGUGUAGAGGUGAAAUUCGUAGAUAUUCGCAAGAACACCAGUGGCGAANGCGGCUCACUGGCCCGAUACUGACGCUGA